CAUGAUCGGUCAAUGCAUUUUGACCAUCAAUAACUUUUGAUCCACAAUAGAUACGGACCUUAUUCUUUUUGAAGCUUAAAAACAACAUAUCAGGCUACACAUAACAACUUUUAAACAACAAAACUCAUGAUUGAGCAAAGAGUUAUGGCCUCUGAUAUUUGGUGAAAAAUAACAGAAUUCGGUUUUUUCCAACUUGCUUAAAUCUUCAAAUUCGUGCACUUUGAUGUUAUGGAUUCAUGAUUUAUCAACCCAGAUCAUCAAUUGACACCCUAUU
rnacentral:lncRNA from 1 species